CAUAAUGAAUAUGAAUUUAAAAUAAGCAAAUUCAUGGAAACAUCAAAUUUCACUCAAGCGUACCUGUGUUCCUCUCCAUGCUAAAAGCUGGUUUUUAGUCGAUAGUUUGAGACUCUAGAUCAUGCAGAGUCUAUGGUCUAAAUACCUUGUCCAAUUAAAGCUUCGGAAUAAAGAAGGCGACAGAUAGAUUAGAAAAGUGGAUGAGUCAAAAAGUUU
rnacentral:lncRNA from 1 species